ensembl:lncRNA
GGUAACACUGUUGUUUUUCUUUGGUCGUCAUGAAAAAAAACACAAGGGGGGUAACACUGUUGUUUUUUAUUAGUCGUCAUGAAAAAAAACAUAAGGGGUAACACUGUUGUUUUUUAUUGGUCGUCAUGAAAAAAAACAUGAGGGGUAACACUGUUGUUUUUUUAUUGGUCGUCAUGAAUAAAAACAUAAGGGGUAACACUGUUGUUUUUUAUUGAUCGUCAUGAAAAAAAACAUAAGGGGUAACACUGUUGUCUUUGUCAAAUAAAAUAUAAGGGGUAACACUGUCGUAUUUUAUUGGUCGUCAUGAAAAAAAAAACAUUUGAAGAAAAAAAAAAAUUGUCCUUGUCAAAUAAAAUAUAAGGGGUAACACUGUUGUUUUUCAUCAGUCACCAUGGGAAAAAAACAUAAGGGGUAACACUGUUGUUUUUCAUUGGUCGUCAUGAAAAAAAACAUAAGGGGUAACACUGUUGUUUUUUAUUGGUUGUCAUGAAAAAAAAACACAUUUUUUAUUGGUCGUCAUGAAAAAAAACAUAAGGGGUAACACUGUUGUUUUUCUUUGGUCGUCAUGAAAAAAACAUAAGGGGUAACACUGUUGUUUUUCUUUGGUCGUCAUGAAAAAAAAAAACAUUUUUUAUUGGUCGUCAUGAAAAAAAACAUAAGGGGUAACACUGUUGUUUUUCUUUGGUCGUCAUGAAAAAAACAUAAGGGGUAACACUGUUGUUUUUCUUUGGUCUUCUUGAAAAAAACAUAAGGGGUAACACUGUUGUUUUUUAUUGGUCGUCAUGAAAAAAAACAUAAGGGGUAACACUGUUGUUUUUUAUUGGUCGUCAUGAAAAAAACAUAAGGGGUAACACUGUUGUUUUUCUUUGGUCGUCAUGAAAAAAACAUAAGGGGUAACACUGUUGUUUUUCAUUGGUCGUCAUGAAAAAAAACAUAAGGGGUAACACUGUUGUUUUUUAUUGGUUGUCAUGAAAAAAAAACAAAUGUUUUAUUGGUCGUCAUGAAAAAAAACAUAAGGGGUAACACUCUUGUUAUUUAUUGGUCGUCAUGAAAAAAAACAUAAGGGGUAACACUGUUGUCUUUGUCAUAAAACAUAAGGGGUAACACUGUUGUUUUUUAUUGGUCGUCAUGAAAAAAAAAAUACAUUUUUUAUUGGUCGUCAUGAAAAAAAACAUAAGGGGUAACACACUUUUUUUUUAUUGGUCGUCAUGAAAAAAAACAUAAGGGGUAACACUGUUGUUUUUCUUUGGUCGUCAUGAAAAAAACAUACGGGGUAACACUGUCGUUUUUUAUUUUUCUUCAUGAAAAAAAACAUAAGGGGUAACACUGUCGAUAUUUAUCAAUUAAAACAAAGGGGGUAACACUGUCGUUUUUAUCAAAUGAAACAUCAGGGGUGACACUGUUGUUUUUCUUUGGUCGUCAUGAAAAAAACCAUAAGGGGUAACACUGUUGUUUUUUAUUAGUCGUCAUGAAAAAAACCAUAAGGGGUAACACUGUUGUUUUUUAUUGGUCGUCAUGAAAAAAAAAUAAGGGGGUAACACUGUUGUUUUUGUCAAUUAAAAUAUAAGGGGUAACACUGUCGUAUUUUAUUGGUCGUCAUGAAAAAAAACAUUUGAAAAAAAUAAAUAAAUUUCCUUGUCAAAUUAAAUAUAAAGGGUAACACUGUUGUUUUUCAUCAGUCAUCAUUUGUCAUCAUUUUUUCUUUGUGAGGUGGUGCAGGUCCAACCACCUGCAGCUGAACUCCUCCAAGACCAAGGAGAUGGUGGUGGACUUCAGAAGGAAGAAACCACAUCUCCUACCCGUGUCCAUCGAGGGGGUCGAUGUGGAGGUGGUCAGGACCUAUAAAUAUCUGGGACUGCAGCUGGACGACAAGCUGGACUGGACAGCAAAUAUGGAAGCUUUAUACAGGAAAGGGCAGAGCCGUCUGUACUUCCUGAGAAGGCUGGGGUCUUUCAACAUCUGCAAAAAACUACUGCAGAUGUUUUACCAGUCUGUGGUGGCCAGCGUGCUCUUUUAUGCUGUGGUUUGCUGGGGAGG